rnacentral:rRNA from 1 species
GAUGAACGCUGGCGGCGUGCCUAAUACAUGCAAGUCGAGCGAACAGACGAGGAGCCUGCUCCUCUGACGUUAGCGGCGGACGGGUGAGUAACACGUGGAUAACCUACCUAUAAGACUGGGAUAACUUCGGGAAACCGGAGCUAAUACCGGAUAAUAUAUUGAACCGCAUGGUUCAAUAGUGAAAGACGGUUUUGCUGUCACUUAUAGAUGGAUCCGCGCCGCAUUAGCUAGUUGGUAAGGUAACGGCUUACCAAGGCAACGAUGCGUAGCCGACCUGAGAGGGGGAUCGGCCAAACUGGAACUGAGAAAGGGUCCAGACUCCUAGGGGAGGCAGCAGUAGGGAAUUUUCCGCAAUGGGCGAAAGUUUGACGGAGCAACGCCGCGUGAGUGAUGAAGGUCUUCGGAUCGUAAAACUCUGUUAUUAGGGAAGAACAAAUGUGUAAGUAACUAUGCACGUUUUGACGGUACCUAAUCAGAAAGCCACGGCUAACUACGU